rnacentral:rRNA from 1 species
GCCUAACCAUAACAUAACAAUAAAACCACCAAUUGUUCGCCAAAUAACUACGAGUAAAAACUUAAAAUUUAAAAGACUUGACGGUGCCUCAAAACAACCUAGAGGAGCCUGUCUAGUAACCGAUACUCCACGAUUAACCCAACCCACCCUAGCCUAACAGUCUAUAUACCGCCGUCGCCAGCCUACCUUGUGAAAGAAACAAAGUGAGCUUAACAGUCAUACACUAAUACGACAGGUCGAGGUGUAACUUAUGGGGGGGGUCCAAGAUGGGCUACAUUUUCUAAAUCAGAAAACACGAAUUAACCUAUGAAAAAGAAACUGAAGGCGGAUUUAGCAGUAUGCCAAGAACAACAAACCUAACAGAAAUCAACGCAAUGAGGUGCGUACACACCGCCCGUCAUCCCUGUCAACCAACUAUCAAAAUUCAUAAACUAAAAUUGACUACUAAAGCAGGGCAAGUCGUAACAUGGUAAGCGUACUGGAAAGUGCGCUUAGAAA